UUGACCUCGGAUCAGGUAGGGAUACCCGCUGAACUUAAGCAUAUCAAUAAGCGGAGGAAAAGAAACCAACCGGGAUUGCCUCAGUAACGGCGAGUGAAGCGGCAAGAGCUCAAAUUUGAAAGCUGGCUCCUUCGGAGUCCGCAUUGUAAUUUGCAGAGGAUGCUUUGGGUGCGGCCCCCGUCUAAGUGCCCUGGAACGGGCCGUCAGAGAGGGUGAGAAUCCCGUCUUGGGCGGGGUGUCCGUGCCCGUGUAAAGCUCCUUCGACGAGUCGAGUUGUUUGGGAAUGCAGCUCUAAAUGGGUGGUAAAUUUCAUCUAAAGCUAAAUACUGGCCGGAGACCGAUAGCGCACAAGUAGAGUGAUCGAAAGAUGAAAAGCACUUUGAAAAGAGAGUUAAACAGCACGUGAAAUUGUUGAAAGGGAAGCGCUUGCGACCAGACUCGCCCGCGGGGUUCAGCCGGCAUUCGUGCCGGUGUACUUCCCCGUGGGCGGGCCAGCGUCGGUUUGGGCGGCCGGUCAAAGGCCCCUGGAAUGUAGUACCCUCCGGGGUACCUUAUAGCCAGGGGUGCAAUGCGGCCAGCCUGGACCGAGGAACGCGCUUCGGCACGGACGCUGGCAUAAUGGUCGUAAACGACCCGU
rnacentral:rRNA from 1 species